ACUCUCGGCAGAAUUUUAUUUUGGGGGGCUGUCAUAUUUUGAAAAGGCUUCUCGGCUGGAACUUUGGGAGGAGAGAAAAAAAUGUUGUUCAUGGAUAUUGAUCAAGGAUGAAUGAGAGCAUUGAUUUUUAUUUUUUUUUACUUUCGCUGACUCACCAUUUAAUUUUAUUGAAUCAUCUUUGCUUUAUUUUUGAGAUUGGAGCGCUAGGUCCAGGGGGGCUUUUCUUUGGAUUUUUAUUUGGAGGAGGAUGGGACGUUCAUCACCUUGUAGCAACCUACAUUUCUUUUUAUUUUACAAGACUGGAACAUUUCUUUUGUUUUAGAAAUUUAUCCUUGAAUGCUACGGUGCAGCCUUAUGCAGUAGCACAUGGUUGAAGUCAAUCCAUCAAUGCCAUGUCCGUCCAGGAAAGAAAGAAUGGUGUCAGC
rnacentral:lncRNA from 1 species